CCAAUCUAUAAAAGGUAAAAAGGAUCUGAUUUACAUAAGAAGAAGACAUAAACCUUAAGUUUAAAAUAUUCAAUGUUAUUCUCAAGUUAACAUUGCAGUGAAAUAACUACAAAAACUAUACCUAAAUCUAUCUCACCUGUUCUAUAAUCUGACCACAGCUGAAUACAAUGCACAGCCAUCUCCUUAAUAAGGAAACAAGGAAGGGCCUGCUUCCUUUACAUCAGAGAAAAAAAUGGUAUCUAUUUUGUGAAAACCAUGCAGAGACCUACAGAAUUGGGAUUUUUUUUGGCAAAUUGAGUGUUGUAAUAGAAAUGAUUGUAUCUUGAUGAGCAAAUUUCAAGGGGUUCAAAAGAAAGACAAGUGAGAGAUUAUAGACAAAAACUAAAGAAAGGUAAUCAACGAGGAGGGAAAGUUCUUAAGAAUGAAACUCCCAAGAAACAAAGAGAAAGAAUUCUGAUGAAGAAGCAAAAAGGACACUACUGCCUAAAGAAACUAAAGAAAGCCAUGUUUCCUGAUUCAUUGAACUUCAGUCAAAUGGACCAAGGCAGAAGAAAUUACUUUCCGAGAAGAUUAAGAAGACCUCUGAGUUGAAACCACAAAAUUCAGAGUUGAAAGGGAUCUUUAGUGACCCCUUCCCCAUAUAAAUGACACUUAGCUUAAAGUGAAGUCCCUCUACAACAUUCUCCAAAAGCCUAUACCUCCAAAAUGGUGAGACAUAGCACAGAGGAAAGGUGUAUGCUUCUCUAGGGUGCUUAUCACCAAAGAUGUCUAAUAUACCUGUGUACCUUUUAGGAAAAGGCUAUGGAGGUGGGAGAGGCAGCAGCCUCAGCAUAUUUAACAACUAUACAUGUUUAUGUAGCUUUAUAGAACCACAUCUAAUUCAUAAGUAAAUAAAUCAGUACCACCUUACUUUAAUAGACUAGUAGUUAAAGCAAGGCCGUGUACUUCAUUUGUCAAUGCAAUGGAUCUGUGAUGGUCAAAAAGUAUUUGAAAUGACAGGGAAAAGGCAAAUAAAGGCAACUGAAGUUGUGAAGAUAAGAAUUAAAUUGAAAGAAAAUUUUAUCUUUGUCACCCCCCCAAUAACUGGAUCUAAUUAUGCAAAUAGAGAAAUCACACAGAAAAAAUGUGAGGCAAAAAGAAUAAAUUACUCAAUAGAAAAAACAUUACUUAAAAUAUAUACUUCAUACCUGAGCA